rnacentral:rRNA from 1 species
AACGAACGCUGGCGGCAGGCUUAACACAUGCAAGUCGAACGGUUGUAGCAAUACAGCAGUGGCGCACGGGUGAGUAACGCGUGGAUACCUGCCUUUUGGUUAGGAAUAACUCCGGGAAACUGGAGCUAAUACCGGAUGGUUCCUACGGGAUAAAGAUUUAUCGCAAAAAGAUGCGUCCGCGUACGAUUAGCUAGUUGGCGGGGUAAUGGCCCACCAAGGCGACGAUCGUUAGCUGGUCUGAGAGGACGAUCAGCCACACUGGGACUGAGACACGGCCCAGACUCCUACGGGAGGCAGCAGUGGGGAAUAUUGGACAAUGGGGGCAACCCUGAUCCAGCCAUGCCGCGUGAGUGAUGAAGGCCUUCGGGUUGUAAAGCUCUUUUGGCGGGGACGAUGAUGACGGUACCCGCAGAAUAAGCCCCGGCUAACUUCGUGCCAGCCGCCGCGGUAAUAC